GUCCGUUGGGGAUGGAGGUCGACAUAUAUAGGAGUCUCCCUAACAACAAGUAGUAAUGCUAUUCCUUUACCCUGCUUGGUCAUAGCACGGUAGUGGGAGCUGCCAGUUUCACAUGUUUUAACUCUGUCAGAGCACUUUGAAAAAGUGGUCUGUGGUAUCUGGCUCUCGAGAUUCGGAGAACGAUGCCUCUUCGAUUUUUGAGAAAAGCAAUCAUGUUGGGGGUCUGACUCUCGAGAUUCGGAGAGCAGUGUCUCUUCGAUUUUUGAGGAAGUAAUCAUGUUGGGAGUCUGGCUCUCGAGAUUCGGAGGGCGGUGCCUCUUCGAUUUUGGAGCAAGCAAUCUUGUUGGGAGUGUUGUCUCGAAUGUGAGUAAAGGUUGGACAUGUUUGCUAGUCUACCUUGCCACGAAGCACAAAGGUUGACACAUAGGGACUUUCCAAUUAUCCAGCAAUGGUACUGUUCCUUUACCCUCUCUUCGAUUUUGAGAAAGUAGUCAUGUUGGGAGUCUGGCUCUCGAGAUUCGGAGGACGGUGCCUCUUCGAUUUUGGAGCAAGCAAUCUUGUUGGGACUGUUUUCUCGAAUGUGAGUAAAGGUUGGGCAUGUUUGCUAGUCUACCUUGCCACGAAGCACAGAGGUUGACACACAGGGACUUUCCAAUUAUCCAGCAGUGGUACUGUUCCUUUACCCUUGUGGGUAAUAAUAUGGUAGCUAGACCUUCAAAAUUUAUGUGUCUAAACUUUGUUAGUGCUGUUUCUUUGCUAUUCUUUUACCUUUCUUGGUCAGAGCGAUGUAGUGGGAGCUGCAAGCUUCACGUGCUCAACUUUGGCAGAGAACUUUGGCAAAGUGAUCUGUGGUACCCAUGAGUUAUUGUUGCGUGUGGGAAGUGGGUGAUUGAACAGUAAGAUUCAUGUGCUUUCUACUUCACCAGAAGUCUUCGACAGAAUGCCCAUAAUUUCUGCAAAGCUGAGUGUGCGUGUGACAGGUGCUGACAAGGCUAGAAAAGUAGGUGCCUCUUUGAUUUCUGAGAUCGGCCCUCGUGGUCUCUGAGCAGCCCAGCUUUUGAGAAAGCGAGCGCCUCUUCGAUUGAUUCGGAGAACGGUGCCUCACCGAUUUUUGAGAAAGCAAUCAUGUUGGGGGUCUGGCUCUCGAGAUUCGGGGAGCAGUGUCUCUUCGAUUUUUGAGAAAGUAAUCAUGUUGGGAGAGUGGCUCUCGAGAUUCGGAGGGCGGUGCCUCUUCGAUUUUGGAGCAAGCAAUCUUGUUGGGAGUGUUUUCUCGAAUGUGAGUAAAGGUUGGGCAUGUUUGCUAGUCUACCUUGCCACGAAGCACAGAGGUUGACACACACACAGGGACUUUCCAAUUAUCCAGCAAUGGUACUGUUCCUUUACCCUCUCUUCGAUUUUUAAGAAAGUAGUCAUGUUGGGAGUCUGGCUCUUUAGAUUCGGAGGACGGUGCCUCUUCGAUUUUGGAGCAAGCAAUCUUAUUGGGAGUGUUUUCUCGAAUGUGAGUAAAGGUUGGGCAUGUUUGCUAGUCUACCUUGCCACGAAGCACAGAGGUUGACAUACAUGGACUUUCCAAUUAUCCAGCAGUGGUACUGUUCCUUUACCCUUGUGGGUAAUAAUAUGGUAGCUAGACCUUCAAAAUUUAUGGGUCUAAACUUUGUUAGUGCUGUUUCUUUGCUAUUCUUUUUACCCUUCUUGGUCAGAGCGAUGUAGUGGGAGCUGCAAGCUUCACGUGCUCAACUUUGGCAGAGAACUUUGGCAAAGUUAUCUGUGGUACCCAUGAGCUAUUGUUGCGUGUGGGAAGUGGGUGAUUGAACAGUAAGAUUCAUGUGUUUUCUACUUCCCCAGAAGUCUUUGACAGAAUGCCCAUAAUUUCCGCGAAGCUGAGUGUGCGUGUGACAGGUGCUGACAAGGCUGGAAAAGUAGGUGCCUCUUCGAUUUCUGAGAUCGGCCCUCGUGGUCUCUAGGGAGCCCAGCUUUUGAGAAAGCGAGCGCCUCUUCGAUUUCUGAGAUCGGCCUUCGUGGUCUUUGAGCAGCCCAACUUUUGAGAAAGCAAACGGCUCUUCGAUUUCUGAGAUCAACCCUUGUGAUCUCUAAGCAGCCCAACUUUUGAGAAAGCAAACGCCUCUUCGAUUUCUGAGCAGGCGCCUCUUUGAUUUCUGAAGCUCCGUCGAGUGCAGAUUUUUAUAGGGGCUGGCAUUAAGUUCCAAAGCACACUUGAAUCUCCACCAGUAGAAGCUUCAUUCUUGCACUUCUAAGAUCUUGAUUUGUCCGACCUCUUCUCUCUUCAACACCUUUGAAAAUGUCUGGCCCCUCCGACCGUCGUUUUGACUUGAACCUUGUUGAAGAGGCAGCCCCGCCUUCUCCAGACAACAUAUGGCGCCCAUCCUUCGUCUCCCCAACUGGUCCUCUUACCGUUGGGGAUUCCGUGAUGAAGAAUGAUAUGACCGCUGCGGUGGUGGCCAGGAACCUUCUCACUCCCAAAGAUAACAGACUACUUUCCAAACGGUCUGAUGAGUUAGCUGUUAAGGAUUCGCUGGCUCUCAGUGUUCAGUGUGCAGGUUCUGUGUCUAAUAUGGCACAACGCCUAUUUGCUCGAACCCGCCAAGUUGAAUCAUUGGCGGCUGAAGUGAUGAGUCUCAAACAGGAGAUUAGAGGGCUCAAGCAUGAGAAUAAACAGUUGCACCGGCUCGCACAUGACUAUGCUACAAACAUGAAGAGGAAGCUUGACCAGAUGAAGGAAACUGAUGGUCAGGUUUUACUUGAUCAUCAGAGAUUUGUGGGUUUGUUCCAAAGGCAUUUAUUGCCUUCGUCUUCUGGGGCUGUACCGCGUAAUGAAGCUCCAAAUGAUCAACCUCUGAUGCCUCCUCCUUCUAGGGUUCUGUCCAGUACUGAGGCUCCAAAUGAUCCCCCUCCGGUGCCUUCUCUUUCUGGGGCUCUACCGACUGCUGAGACUUCUCCUAAGCAACCUUUGUGAAGGCUCCCUCUUGUGUGUUUAUUUUGACUCAUGUAUAUGUACAUAUUUGUAGCUUAUCGGGGAUAUCAAUAAAUAAGCUUUCCUUUUCACUCUUAACUGACAGAGAAGAUCAAAUUCAUUUCAUAUACAUAUAUGAUAACUCCAGGUUUUACUGACAAAAUCUGGAUGCUUUUCACAAUGGUCUCACUGACAGAUGUUUUUACAUUCAGCUAAUGAUGAUACACUAUACAUCAAUAAUUUUUAGGGGAAUGCACGCACUAGGGGACUCCAUAAAAUAAAUUUAUUGAGACCAAGGAAUGAAACUUCCGUUCAACUAUAGUAGAGAGGAAAUCAGUCACAGCAGGCACUAAAUAGAGGAGUACGCGGGGGUCAAGAAGCUAAACCUGCCAGAUGAAUACAACAACAACAACAACAAAGCCUUUUCCCACUAAGUGGGGUCGGCUAUAUGAAUCCUAGAACGCCAUUGCGCUCGGUUUUGUGUCAUGUCCUCCGUUAGAUCCAAGUACUCUAAGUCUUUUCUUAGAGUCUCUUCCAAAGUUUUCCUAGGUCUUCCCCUACCCCUUUGGCCCUGAACCUCUGUCCCGUAGUCACAUCUUCGAACCGGAGCGUCAGUCGGCCUUCUUUGCACAUGUCCAAAUCAUCGGAGCCGAUUUUCUCUCAUCUUUCCUACAAUUUCGGCUACUCCUACUUUACCUCGGAUAUCCUCAUUCCCAAUCUUAUCCUUUCUCGUGUGCCCACACAUCCCACGAAGCAUCCUCAUCUCCGCUACACCCAUUUUGUGUACGUGUUGAUGCUUCACCGCCCAACAUUCUGUGCCAUACAACAUCGUUGGCCUUAUUGCCGUCCUAUAAAAUUUUCCCUUGAGCUUCAGUGGCCUACGACGGUCACACAACACGCCGGAUGCACUCUUACACUUCAUCCAUCCAGCUCGUAUUCUAUGGUUGAGAUCUCCAUCUAAUUCUACGUUCUCUUGCAAGAUAGAUCCUAGGUAGCGAAAACGGUCGCUUUUUGUGAUCUUCGCUAGAUUGCUCCGGUCAUUAGUGUGGAUAAGUAUAUAAAUGGAUAGAGAUAGGAAAGCAAACACAAGAUGUACGUGGUUCACCCAGAUUGGCUACGUCCACGGAAUAGAAGAGUUCUCAUUAAUUGUGAAGGGUUUACACAAGUACAUAGGUUCAAGCUCUCCUUUAGUGAGUACAAGUGAAUGAUGAUUUAGUACAAAUGACAUUAGGAAAUAUUGUGGGAGAAUGAUCUCGUAAUCACGAAACUUCUAAGUAUCGGAGUGUGGUGUCGUCUUGACUUGCCUUAUCUGUCUCAUAGGUAGAUGUGGCAUCUUCUCUGGAAGUACUCUUCCUCCAUCCAGGGGUGGUAUCUUUAACUGGUGGAGAUGCACAAGGUAAUGUAUCAAUUUCACUUGAAGCUUACUUGUAGUCUCAGGCUUGGUCAAUCGCGAUACAAACCAUGUAGUAGGAGUCCCCCAAGUCGCCGAGCUAGGGGGUCUGCUGAAAGAGGUGACAGACAAGGUAAGCAAUCAGAGCUCCGACUGAUUGUUCACCUUCUCCCCAUCUUGCAGCAGCAUGAAGGAUAAAGAGAAGAAAAAUGAGAAGAGAUGAUAUGAGAUACUUUUGCUUUUGAAGAAGUAACUUUCCACAGGCUUAUUCUUGAACUGAGCUGGAUGGUUUUCUGGUUUCCUCCAGAGUAUAAGGCCGACUGAAGAAUUUGAGGGUCAAAACAAGUCCAUCAAAUCUAGAGUACGUUCCACCCUGCUGAUAUGGGAUACUUUUGCUUUUGACAGAGUAAUGGGUGUAUCGGCACGUGUGCUGUUACGCUUGUCUCCACAUGCUUCCUUGUAUCCUUCGCACUUGCCCUAUCUGUUCCUCAAGCAGAUGCGGAAUCUUCCCUGGAAACAUAAGAUGUUGAAGAUGAGUACUCGAGAGCAAUGCCAGGUAAGUAAUCAGGUAAGGGGUUCCAGGCAGUCAGUUCCUGGCUGGAAGCUUGAUCCAAGUGCUGACUGAUUGCUCUCUUUCUCCUUGUCUUGCAGGUAAAAACAAGGCCAAAGGAAAAGACAGGGAAAAAGCAUGAUAUAUGGGAUACUCUUGCUUUUAACCCUGAUGAUAUGAGAUAUUCUUGCUCUAGUAUAGCUUGUUUGCAGAGGUAUUAUCGGGGGGAAAGAAAGCUGAAUAUUUCGAAAGGCUUCGUUGGGAGUGCCCUCUCAGAUAUGAUGAAGGGUUGAGCAUUUUUGCAGGUCUGCCUGUCCGUUGGGGAUGGAGGUCGACAUAUAUAGGAGUCUCCCUAACAACAGGUAGUAAUGCUAUUCAUUUACCCUGCUUGGUCAUAGCACGGUAGUGGGAGCUGCCAGUUUCACAUGUUUUAACUCUGUCAGAGCACUUUGAAAAAGUGGUCUGUGGUAUCUGGCUCUCGAGAUUCGGAGAACGAUGCCUCUUCGAUUUUUGAGAAAGCAAUCAUGCUGGGGGUCUGGCUCUCGAGAUUCGUAGAGCAGUGUCUCUUCGAUUUUUUGAGGAAGUAAUCAUGUUGGGAGUCUGGCUCUCGAGAUUCGGAGGGCGGUGCCUCUUCGAUUUUGGAGUAAGCAAUCCUGUUGGGAGUGUUGUCUCGAAUGUGAGUAAAGGUUGGGCAUGUUUGCUAGUCUACCUUGCCACGAAGCACAAAGGUUGACACACAGAGACUUUCCAAUUAUCCAGCAAUGGUACUGUU
rnacentral:lncRNA from 1 species